UAAAGAACAAAUACAUGUUCUUGUUUCAAGAUAGAUAUCUGUCUUAGGAUGUACUUCCAACAGUAUUUUCAAACACAAGGGCUUCCAGUUGGGGCAUUAUGCCCUAUUCCCCCUCCUGGCCUUCUACGUGCCUUUUAUUUUCAUUAGGUAUAAAAUUAGAUUUUAAAUACCAGGGUGGAAGAAAAAGAGAUCUGUCUCUUGUAAUGUGUGUAACCUUUGCCCUUCUUUCCUUCUUGAACCCUGCCUGCUUCAUCCUUGUGUUAUGUCUUGUCAAAUCCAGUUUGUGUAGCUUUCAGAUGGGAUUACAUUCAGUUUACCUCUUCCUUCCUUAUAGAAAUACUUUGAGAAUUGCAAGGAUUUCUUUACAACAAGAUAUAAUUGUCAAUCAAUGAAAUAAAGAUAUAAAAGAUACACAACAACAGAAGAAUAAAUAAGGAAAAUUUCAAACCAAAAGGAUACUUAAGAAAAAGUUUCAAAAACCAUUAUAGUUUUCCACCUAGUCAUAUAAAAUUGAAGAUUAUAUCACUGCUAGAAACUAUGUUUCUACACGACAAGUCUUAAACCUACACUCACGCACAACAUUUUAAGUAUAAAUAAAAUAUCUUCCAGUUAAUAUGACUGUUAAUAUUCUUGCAGCUGUUGCUGUAAGUAGCCGCUUUGUUCUGUAUACUUCAUACAGUAUCACUUACUGUAGAUAAACAUAAGCCACAGCAGCAAAUAUCUUGGAUAAAAGUAUAUUUAGUAUUAACAGUUCAUUCGUCUUGGGAAGCAUGAAAAUCAUAUUGAAUGAAAAUACUCUAUAAUAAAAUUAUGGUGGACAUAAUCCAGUCAAAAAAGCUUUUAAAAUUAUUUAGUGGUACACAAAUGUUUACUGGCUUUGCUUGGAUCAUGUUUGUUAUGUGUGACAUAUAUACAUAUUUCUCUCUAUACAGCAAAUAUUAUAAAGUCUAUAGAAUCCUUAUGAUUCAAUAACCUACAUGGAUGUCACUUCAGUAUUGGAAAUUAACAUACAAGCUGGAACUAUUUUGUUGCAUAUACAGGUAGUAGAAAGCAGCAGCCGGCUGUAGCUUCCCUAUGUUUGCAGACUCAGCAAGUAAGCAUUUAUACUCAUCACAUCUGAAAGAGUUCCUAGAGUCUGGACUCAGAAGUGAAGAAAGAUAUAGCAUUCUUUCCAUCAGAGACAUCCAAGCACAAGACAUGCUAAAUGACAAGAAAGCUAACAAUGGCACUCUCUUCAGUUCUUUCUUACAUGAAUGACUGGCCUAUGAAAAUAAGUUCUAUCAUCCAUCUGAUAGUCAUAAGGGAAGGGGACAUGGCUGCAUUACUGAGCAGAGCAGAAGUCUGGCAACCUGGGUGGGGAUAUUUCUGAGAUGUCAACACCUUGCAUAAUCCUCAUGGCUUUAAUUCUGUGUAAUGGAGUUGGGAUAGAUUUUGAACGUUUCACAUGCUUCCGUAGAAGUUUAGUGUGAAGCUCAGAAUCUGCUUUCAGUAAAGCUGUGGCUUAAGAAUUGUAAUGUUAAUGUAAACUCUUUUGGAGCAGUUGUUAAGGAGCCAUUAGAAGUACUGUUUAGGCUUUUCAUGACUAAUCUCCUAAAUGCUGCUGAAGAUUAUGUAUCCUCCUUAGUAAAUGAUAUAUAUAUGACACAAAACUUUUAAGAAACAACUGUCAGAUUAGUUGGCUUUAGUAUGCUAUCAAGCCCUUGAGGGGAAAAGGCUGCAAAGGCUCUACAAAGCUAUAAACUACACAGUAUACUGAGGGUUGCUUUUUCUGUCUCUUUAAAGAGCUUCAGAUCCCUAACAGAGCCCCAAUGUGCAGGUAUUUUCUCUCAAUCAGUGCUUCUUACCACAGCAAGGGAGGAAGUUGUGAAUAUGAAACAGCAGCUUAGUUUUCAAAGAAGAGUUCAAUCUCUAUAUCUGUUAAUUAUGCACCUCUGUUUUAUGUAGUGUGCCAUCUGCUGACUGAAAAGAUAAUAGUUUAGUUUCCUACUGCCUCUACUACUGCUGUCAUUAAUUAGAAGCAUGUAAAGAUAUUCUGGGACAAGAAGCUACACUUAGAACUGGAUAUGGAACAACUGAUUGGUUCAAAAUUGGGAAAGGAGUACGGCAAGGCUGUAUAUUGUCUCCCUGCUUAUUCAACUUAUAUGCAGAAUUCAUCAUGCGAAAGGCUGGGCUGGAAGAUCACUGGAAGAAAUAUCAACAACCUCAGAUAUGCAGAUGACACAACCUUGAUGGCAGAAAGUGAGGAAGAAUUAAAGAACCUUUUAAUGAGGGUGAAAGAGGAGAGUGCAAAAUAUGGUCUGAAGCUCAACAUCAAAAAAACGAAGAUCAUGGCCACUGGUCCCAUCACCUCCUGGCAAAUAGAAGGGGAAGAAAUGGAGGCAGUGAGAGAUUUUACUUUCUUGGGCUCCCUGAUCACUGCAGAUGGUGACAGCAGUCACGAAAUUAAAAGACGCCUUCUCCUUGGGAGAAAGGCGAUGGCAAACCUAGACAGCAUCUUAAAAAGCAGAGACAUCACCUUGCCAACAAAGGUCCGUAUAGUUAAAGCCAUGGUUUUCCCAGUAGUGAUGUAUGGAAGUGAGAGCUGGACCAUAAAGAAGGCUGAUCGCCGAAGAAUUGAUGCUUUUGAAUUAUGGUGCUGGAGGAGACUCCUGAGAGUCCCAUGGACUUCAAGAAGAUCAAACGCAUCCAUUCUUAAGGAAAUUAGCCCUGGGUGCUCACUGGAAGGACAGAUCGUGAAGCUGAGGCUCCAAUACUUUGGCCACCUCAUGAGAAGAGAAGACUCCUGGAAAAGACCCUGAUGUUGGGAAAGAUGGAGGGCACAAGGAGAAGGGGACGACAGAGGACGAGAUGGUUAGACAGUGUUCUCGAAGCUACAAACAUGAGUCUGACCAGACUGCGGGAGGCAGUGGAAGACAGGAGUGCCUGGCGUGCUCUGGUCCAUGGGGUCACGAAGAGUCGGACACGACUAAACGACUAAACAACAACAAAAGAUAUUCUGAGUACUGUUCCCCUGCCAAACUGACCCACAAUCUUACCUCGCUCUUUCUACUUUAAACUAUGAAUUAUAUUUAUAUAAUUCAAACAAGGAUUAACUACAUCUUUUUAUCUAUCUUUUUUUAAAAGCUGGUUUGGAAUAAGCCAGUAAUCAGCUUCAGCUUUGGGGCUUAUACAUAAUGGCCACUGAAUGUUCAAAAUUCAGUCGAGAAAGUCACAUUCCUUGAAACAGGUUGAGUAUUAUGCAUAUUGACAAGAAAAUGUAGUUGAGAUAUUUAUUUUUCUUAUUUGGAGAACAUGCAUAAGAAAAAAUGAUAUUUAUUUUUCACUAAUAUAUGUAUUUGUAUGCACACUUAUCCAUUUUGUAUACUUUUUUAUUGAAAUGCACUGCAAAAAUUUUAGAGAAGGUUUUGAAGAUAGUUACAUUUCAGUUCACACACUGUAUUGUUAUAGGAAGUGCUAUUUAGGUAUGUUCACAUUAAAAUGUGAACUGAACCAAAUUUCUUCCCCAUUCCUACUGGAGUUAAGUCUCAUUGACUUUAAUUUCUUAGAAUCAUAGCAUUAUAGAGUGGGAAGGGGUCCCAAGGAUCAUCUAGUCCAACCCUUUGAAAUGAAGACAUCUCAACUAAAGCAUCCAUAACUGAUGGCCAUCCAACCUCUGCUUAAGACCCCCCAAGGAAGAAGAGUCCACCACCUCCUGAGGGAGCUCCACUGUCAAACAGCUCUUCCUGAUGUUUAGCCGGAAUCUCCUUUCUUGUAACUGCUUUGUCCUAGUCAUGUAAUGAUUCCUCUCCCACACUGAUGGACCUGUUCAAAUAAAACAUCCCUCCCCCAGAUUCUAUCCAAAUUAAGGGAGGAUUGAGAGUGGAUCUUGGGUUUGCAGGUUUUUCUUUCCUGCUCCUCCCUUUCCCACACUUCAUCCGCCCAGGAAGAAGUUGCCAGGGAAAUGGGUGGAUCUUGCAAGUGGGAACUUUCAUUCACAGCACACCCUGUCCAGUUAGUAUUCCAACUCUAUUCCAACUCAUUAGAAUUCUAUGAUUUUGUGACUGAAACUCUGGGGAACUCUGUGAGUCAGUGAAAACAAUACUAAGCUAUAUGGACUAAUAGUCUUACUCUGUAUGAGGCAGCUUUUUAUCUUCCAAAAACUAUGGUGCCAGAGGAGGCUUUAAAUUGAGAACAGAACCAACAUGUGGACAGAAUGUAGUUCUUGAGCAAGGAAAUUCAGAAGUGAGAGCUAUUGUUCACCUCCAGGUGGUGCAUUGUUUUGCACUUUUCCUGUCAUUGUUUAUACACACAAACACACACUGAUUGAUUGUAAUAAAACCUCUAAAUGGUUUACUAAAAAUAUUAAAAUUAUCAGCAGUAAAAACAGUUAGUUGUGCUCUUUAGCUUACACAAACCAAGUAAGGUAAUAAAUAAACAUAACAGACCAAGAAAGGACCAGUUAUGUAUGUAUAGCCCCACAAACUCAGACAUCAAAUCAUUGACUGGAAAUAAAGGGACAGUUAAGUCCAGUCGCGAACGACUCUGGGGUUGCAGUGCUCAUCUCGGUUUACAGGCCGAGGAAGCCGGCAUUUGUCCGCUCCGCAGACAGUUUUACCGGGUCAUGUGGCCAGCAUGACUAAUCCGCUUCUGGUGCAAUGGAACACCGACAUCAGAGCAGUGCACAGAAAUGCUGUUUACCUGGAAAUCCUGACCAUCAUUUCACUGUACCAUAUUUAUUCUUACCAAGCUAAGGCAAACCUUAAAAAUAUUAUAGUUCUUCUGAAUAAUUAUUGCACAAAUAAAGUAGUGGAAUCUGAAAUCCAGUUUUAUUAAUGAAAUCAAAUAAGUUAUUUCACGGGGUUUUUUCCUAGUCUGCGUCUGCACUGGAUUUAAAGUAGUUUUAAUUGCUUUUAUAAAAAUGAAAUCUACUUACAUGCAUUUUACUGUUGCUAUUUUAUUGUUAAGUUGCUUUAAGAUUGUUCAUAGGAAGUGAUUCAC